GGGAUUAUAAGUGAUGUAGCUAAAUUUGUUAUCGUGGUCCAAAAGGAAGAAAAAGUCGACAGUCCUACCUGCGUUAAGUGAAACAGAAGAAAACGGAGACAGAGCGACAUAACGGAACAAGAAAGACGCCUGAAACGGAUAAACUGGGGGGCAGAUCCAUGGAAUUGGCGAACGGGUCCUGAUGCAGUGCCUGCAGGUCGAGCUGAACCUGAGGGUUGAAAAUAUUGAUAUAAAAAUGAUCCCCUCUGGACGCGGUGAGAACAGCCGAGGAAACAAUGGGGAUGAAUCCAAGGAGGACAGAGAGGAGAGAAUUUUGGCCAUGUUGGGGAUCAUCGGGACAGUGCUUAACCUACUUGUGGUCAUCUUUGUUUACAUCUAUACCACUAUUUGACCUCCACGGACAAACGUCAGCCAGCACUGCCCUAGUGAAGGCCUGUCAUGGCAUGCUGUUCAUACAAGGAAGGUGGCAGCUUUGCUGAUAUCCUUCAUUAAAAGAGAGGAUUUCCCCAAGUGACCUUUGAUCAUUGUCAUAUUCAGAUGGGUGACGUCCUGUGGCCACAUUUGAGAAAGCAGGCCACAUUUUGUGUCAUAUUUUAAAAAAGGAGCAAACUUUUGAAUUUGUGAAAAUUUUAAUACACCGAAGCACAAACACGGACCAGCAAAGAAAAUCAAUGAACUGAUGUGAAGGGGUGGUGGCGGCAGCAGAACAAGGUGCAGAUAUUCAGAUGCUGUGGGGAUGAGGACUCAUCAUGUGAAAAAAACAUUUCUACGCACAACAUGAAAGAUGACAGGAAAUGGUUACGAAGAAGAAGAAGAAGAAGAAGCCUUUUGUCACCUGCUUGCACCAUAAUAAACAGGGCUUGUCUGUUACCACGCAGCACACAACUUGAUUUGUCAGCCGUGGGAUUUUCCUGAAUUUUUGCUGCAAAUAAAAAAAUCCAAGAGUCACUUUCAUGUUAAACAGGAAUCUAAAUUUAGAAAUCUUAUCAACACACAAAAAUGGAGCCUCCAGACUUUGAAAGAUGGGAUAAACAGUUUAAAAUUGCUCAACAGCUUUUCACACCACUCCUCUGUUAUUUUAUUCUUGUCCAAAAUGUUUGGAGAGCUCGAGUACCAAAUGGCAUACAUAUGGAGCUGCUGACUGCUUGUGUGGUUUCAUCAGGUGAUUGGGUGGGGCUUGUAGAUGGGAGGGUGGAGCCUGUAUCUGUUGGAGGGGGUGGGGCUUUGUGCUCAUCCUGUGUUACACAUUCCAGUGUUGGUUGGUGCACAUUAUCUUCUCUGAAGAAUGGCUUCUGAGGAUGAGAUGAGCAAAUUAUUAUGACGCCACCAUCUUCAGUUUUUACAGCUGCAUGUAUUCUACGGCAAAGGUGCGGCUGUCGGGUAUCCAGCCUUCAAUCACAAGUAUUCAUCUCUUGCUGCACUACAAAGAAAGGCAAAUUAUCCAUGUGCUUCCAUUAAAAGCUGGUAUUGAUCACUUUUUGUCCGCCUGUUCAUAACAGCUAGAAAUUUUUCAAAAGCCGCAUGAGCGCCUAUCAGCUUUUAACUUCUGAAGGGUUGGAACUGUGUGCUGUGUAGCUCUGGUGGGUCAUCAGAUUUGUUGUUUCUGCUCAAUAUUAUGCCAAAUCAUGUGCACUGUAAGACCAACAUUUUGUUUUCUCAUCUCACUUCAUCUGUGUAAAAUCAAUGCCCAUAUUUAUCAAGCAUCUCAAAGUAGGAAAACGGUCCUACUAUUGGGAGAACGAGUAAUAGUAUUUUAUUAAUUUACCUAAGUUACGAAGCUACUCCUACCUUCACUUGGAUUUAGGAGAGUAUGUGAGCUGUCAGAAGGGGCAACCAGAAGAUAAUGUUCAGGCAGAGAUCGGGACUCACAUUGCAGGAAAGGUGGUACAUUUCUGAAAUUGCUUGACAAUGAUAAACUCGUAAUUAAAUAUUGAUUUGACAGAAAUGGAAUAGUAUUAGUAACAAAUCUGGUCAUGUGAUCUCUUCAUCUACAAGAAGAGGCCACAUGCUGUCAGUCUGAAAUGAAAAUGUCGGUAACGUUAAGUUCUUUGGCCACGGGGAAAAUGGAGCUUUGCAAUAGUGAUGAUUUGAGUAUGGCCCAGCCAACCAUGUCUCAAAUUUUACACCAAGUUUUCAGAGCCCUUACAACUCGUGAGAUAUUACGCAGAUUUAUAUAUUUCCCCACGAUUCCAUGUGAGUUAAUAUUAAAGUAAACUACAUUCAUGCAAAUCACUUGAAUACUGAGGCCGUUGGUGUGAGUGACAGCCAAGUCUGGAUAAGCACUCACGUAUUAAUCACAAGUGAUAUAACAGUAUCGACACAGAGAUGGAAAUGGUUGCAGACUGCGUUAUUCUUGAUGUUGUUGUGAAGUGCCAACAAUUACAUGCCCACUUAGCACGAUAUCCUACCUUAUUAUGUUUUCUUCUUUUCCUUCUUCUACUAUGAAUAUUAUUAUUAUUCCAUUUGUGGUAGAGCCUUAGCAUUUGUAUCAUCAAACUACAAAGCCCCCUUAUAAUUUCCAAGGAGGCUACAAAACGCCUUCUUGAUGACCAAUUUGCAGCUUGGGGUACCGUAAAAUUGUGACAUCACUCAUUUUCAGACUCAAACACCUACUCCUCACUGGGACUGGGCUUCACAUCUACUUCUCUACUCAGGGGUAGGACAAAUUCUUCUCUUAGUCAGACUUUUAGUGCAGUUCAAGGGGUCAAAGAUGUCAGAUAAGUACAGGCACUGGUCUCUAAAAUACACUCUGACCACUGUUGAUCAGUCAAACUGGUACAAGGCAAAAAUGCAUUAAGUAACUCAAGUUUAUGAAAGGGUCUUCUAAAUGAAUAAAAACAAAGGCGAAGACACCUGAUUUAGUUUCUAAACUGGAUUCUCCCAGUAUAAUAUUCAACAAUAAAGAAAACAGUCUUUGUGCAUUGGUUUCCUGUUGGAAAAGUUGUGUUUCUUCCACGUUUUAUUUUUGUUACUACUCUUUAGUUGGGCAGUUAAUGAUCUAACAAAUUUGAAGCUAUUACGAUAAAGUUUUUCAUUUUCUUUUAUCCAUUAAUGCAUCCACCUGUACAU